AAGUCGUAACAAGGUUUCCGUAGGUGAACCUGCGGAAGGAUCAUUAACACGUAUCCACGUACCUACCAGUAAAACCUUUUGGUUCAUUGAGUCUCGGCGACCGGAUCAUGAGACCCGCAAACGGUAGAGCAUUGCUGUCUCACCGGUAGAGAUCUUUAUUGUCUUUGAGAUUGGACACAAAACAAUCUCCCGAGCCUCUUCGCGGGGGCUUGCAGUUUCUGGCUACCGUUUUGUAUGGUUGUCCAAUUAUUUCACCAUUUGUAUCUUAUUUUUGUCUGAUCUUAACGGUUUUCGACUCGGAAACGAGCGAAUCCGAUGAGUAGCAAAAUUUCUUACAACUCUUAGCAACGGAUAUCUUGGUUCUC
rnacentral:misc_RNA from 1 species